GUUUUACUUGAUUCAGGUCAGUUUUUCUGGCCUGUUUAUAACACCUUUGUAAAGCACUAUAUGAAUAAACUUCAUUUUACUUACAUGAUGCAGAAUGAUGAGGGGAAAGAUGUGUGUUGGGGUGGGGGUAACAGUCUGAAUGGCCCAAGGGAAGAACCUGUUAGAGAGUCUGGAGGUGUGGGACCUAAUUGACCUGAGGCGCUGUAUAUAAAGAACAUAAAAAUAUUAACCAGAAGAAUGUCACACCCUUAUAAAAUAGACUGAGAUUUUAAGGUGCAGAAAUGGGUUAAACUGCUGAUGUGUGGCAGAGCAGCAACAUACAGAUGUACAAUGAGAUCCAGAGCAUCUCCUACUCAGUGCAAACAGGUGGGAGAAGAAAGGGGGUGAGGUGCACGGUUUCUGCAGCACUACAUAUAUAUAAACAGUAUUUCGAAAAAACAGUACAAAUAUACAAAUGAACUGCAGUGAAUGUGUGAGCACGCUCAGUGCUACUACUUUUUUUUCUGAAGGUGAUGGCUGGAUAUUAAAGCUGUGAGACUUUAAACUGGAUCCUAAGCCUCUAUAUUUAUAUACAAUACACACAAAAACAUUAGAGCCCUUUAACAAAUUUCAGACCAUCCUGCUCUACCCCAGAGGUCUGAGCGGUUCCUCUGUAGAUGACCAAUUAUCUGUAUCAGAGCAUUUCAUGAACAGUUUUCCAGGCUUCCUCCCGUGGUGAUGGUGGAGUGGUUUGAUGAGGAGCUCCUCCUUUGGUGUUGAUGGAGAGCUUCUCCUGUGCUGAUGAUGAUGAGGAGCUCAACCUGUGCUGAUGUUUCUCUGUGUGAUGUAGGAGGUGGGGGAGCAGACCUGUGGAGCUGUGGAGGUGACGGCUGUCUGAGACGGAGCGUCUGCCUCUGCUUUUCAGGCCUGUUUCUGCUGACUGCUGCAGGUGUGUGUGUGCUGCUGCUGUCUGCUCUGACUGUUUCUGCAGGUGAGUUGAAGGUAAAGAACAAACAGGAAGUGAAGUAUGAAUGAAGGAAUUAAGCUAAAGUGUUCCUGGGAGAAAGGGCCAAUGGGAGGGUCUCCAUUAAGGCUGAACCCCCUACAGGUGAGCUGUGGUGAUGAAGCUGCUAACGUAUUGGUGUUGAGUCCUUUGUGGUGGUAUUUGUGUUCCUGCCUCAGCUUCAUCGUCAUCUUCUUCGACAUCAUCAUCAGGCACGUGUUCCAACAGUGAGAGGUGACCUGCAAGGGUCUGUGUAGGAGACAUAAUCAGAGCUGUUCUAAAGAAAGGAGCUUCAAUGCUUCCUGCAUUGCUUCCUUUAGCAUAGGAUACACUGGAUCAAAUCCAUUAUGACAGACAGA
rnacentral:lncRNA from 1 species